rnacentral:tRNA from 1 species
GGAUUGUGGCUCAAUGGUAGAGCGCUCACCUAGCACGUGUAGGACCCGGGUUCAUUUCUCAGCACCA